UUUGACCUCAAAUCAGGUAGGACUACCCGCUGAACUUAAGCAUAUCAAUAAGCGGGAGGAG
rnacentral:rRNA from 1 species